CACACACACACACACACACUCGCUCUUCUGAAUGAGCAGCGAGGCUUUUUUGGACUAGCCCCGGACGCCACCUCGAUAUUCCUUCUGCUCCGUCUCCUCCCCGAUGUCAACCAUGAGACGCAAAACAAAGGCUAAUAAGGGCAUGAAAAUAAACAGCAAGAGCACUUCCCGAGCCGCCAAAAGUGUGUAAGCGUCAACCAGAGCGAACGAGGUGGAUCUGGCGUCUCAUCCGACAAAGAGCUCGCAAAACUACAGUGGAAGAUGGACUCUUCUGACGGUGAGGAGCAUACUUUGAAAACGUGUAACAAUAUUAUAGGCCCAGCCGAGAGCAACGCUGAGAAUCACAG
rnacentral:lncRNA from 1 species